rnacentral:rRNA from 1 species
CGCGUAGGGCGCAAGCGUUGUCCGGAAUUAUUGGGCGUAAAGCGCGCGUAGGCGGCCCUGUAAGUCCGUUGUGAAAGUCAAAGGCUCAACCUUUGAAAGCCGAUGGAUACUGCAGGGCUAGAGUCCGGAAGAGGCGAGUGGAAUUCCUGGUGUAGCGGUGGAAUGCGCAGAUAUCAGGAGGAACACCAAUAGCGAAGGCAGCUCGCUGGGACGGUACUGACGCUAAGGCGCGAAAGCGUGGGGAGCGAACAGG